rnacentral:misc_RNA from 1 species
CCGAGUAUCGGUGCCCUAUGGGUGCCUACUCCCACCAUUUGUGAACCUUUUUCGUUGCCUCGGCGGACCGAUGGUACCCCCAUCCUUCGGCGCAAGCUGGAGAGCGUCCGCCAGAGGAUUUUCAAACCCGUUUAACCUGAAUUCUGAGUUUAAACAAAUAAAAACA